AUGAUACAAUCAAUCCAACUGUUACCUUUGGGGUGCUUUUUGGAUGGACUAAUCUGAAGAUGUUGGCUAGCUUGCACCGCCAUCAUAUAAUCUAGAAGCAAGGGCAAGGAUUAUAGGGAAAAUAAAGGCAAUUCGCCAACCGGAGGAAAUGCCAACCAAUACAUUUUUGUACUUCCUCUGUUACAGAGUUCGUUCAGGCCUUAGGGACGCUUUCC